AAAAAGUCUAUAUAUUUUAGUGGUUCCUGUGAAACAAAAAAAAUGUGGUUAAAAAAGUUGUUGUUCAUAGGGUAGGGGGUCAUGACCAAUUGGUCAUUUUGGCGACAAGCAUCAGGUCAGUUCUUAGCUUACCUGGUACCCUUAUAUAUGAUACUGGUCUCCCCUCUCACAUGCACACACAAUUCAAUAUUUAAGUGAAGUAGAGUGAAAAAGAAAGUUGGCUAUCUCACAUACACACAAUUUAGUAUUGAGUGAAGUAGAGUGAUGUAACACCC
rnacentral:lncRNA from 1 species